UAAUACGAGGGGAGCUAGCGUUAUUCGGAAUUACUGGGCGUAAAGCGCACGUAGGCGGCUUUGUAAGUUAGAGGUGAAAGCCCAGAGCUCAACUCUGGAAUUGCCUUUAAGACUGCAUCGCUUGAAUCCAGGAGAGGUGAGUGGAAUUCCGAGUGUAGAGGUGAAAUUCGUAGAUAUUCGGAAGAACACCAGUGGCGAAGGCGGCUCACUGGACUGGUAUUGACGCUGAGGUGCGAAAGCGUGGGGAGCAAACAGG
rnacentral:rRNA from 1 species